CAGACUCCAUAUUUCUGGACCAGUAGCCGCUGGCCUGCCUCAGAGCUGGACUAUGCAAUCUAUCUGGCUAAGAAGAACAUCAGGAAACAGGGGGAGCUGGUGGACUAUGAGAAGGAGAACUACAGCAUCCUGCACAAGAAGAUUAACCACACCUGGGAC